ACUCUACGGGAGGCAGCAGUGGGGAAUAUUGCACAAUGGGCGCAAGCCUGAUGCAGCGUUGCCGCGUGUAUGAAGAAGGCCUUCGGGUUGUAAAGUACUUUCAGCGGGGAGGAAGGUGUUGUGGUUAAUAACCRCAGCAAUUGACGUUACCCGCAGAAGAAGCACCGGCUAACUCCGUGCCAGCAGCC
rnacentral:rRNA from 1 species